GUGGGGAAUUUUGGACAAUGGGCGCAAGCCUGAUCCAGCCAUGCCGCGUGAGUGAAGAAGGCCUUCGGGUUGUAAAGCUCUUUCGGCGGGGAAGAAAUGGCAACGGCUAAUAUCUGUUGUUGAUGACGGUACCCGCAUAAGAAGCACCGGCUAACUACGUGCCAGCAGCCGCGGUAAUACGUAGGGUGCGAGCGUUAAUCGGAAUUACUGGGCGUAAAGCGUGCGCAGGCGGUUGUGUAAGUCAGAUGUGAAAUCCCCGGGCUCAACCUGGGAACUGCAUUUGAGACUGCACGGCUAGAGUGUGACAGAGGGGGGUAGAAUUCCACGUGUAGCAGUGAAAUGCGUAGAGAUGUGGAGGAAUACCGAUGGCGAAGGCAGCCCCCUGGGUUACUACUGACGCUCAUGCACGAAAGCGUGGGGAGCAAACAGGAUUAGAAACCCGGGUAGUCC
rnacentral:rRNA from 1 species